UAGUCUGCAACCCGACUACAUGAAGCUGGAAUCGCUAGUAAUCGCGGAUCAGAAUGCCGCGGUGAAUACGUUCCCGGGUCUUGUACACACCGCCCGUCACACCAUGGGAGUCGGAAAUGCCCGAAGUCUGUGACCCAACCUUAGGGAGGGAGCAGCCGAAGGCAGGUCGGAUGACUGGGGUGAAGUCGUAACAAGGUAUC
rnacentral:rRNA from 1 species